UGGGGAAUCUUGCGCAAUGGGCGAAAGCCUGACGCAGCGACGCCGCGUGGGGGAUGAAGCUUCUCGGAGUGUAAACCCCUUUCGACCCGGACGAAACGCCCGCAAGGGUUUGACGGUACGGGUACAAGAAGCCCCGGCUAACUACGUGCCAGCAGCCGCGGUAAGACGUAGGGGGCCAGCGUUGCUCGGAAUUACUGGGCGUAAAGGGUUCGUAGGCGGUGUGGUAAGUCGGAAGUGAAAUCUCUGGGCUUAACUCAGAGGCUGCUUUCGAAACUGCCGCGCUAGAGUGCGGGAGAGGCGAGUGGAAUUACAGGUGUAGCGGUGAAAUGCGUAGAUAUCUGUAGGAACACCCGUGGCGAAGGCGGCUCGCUGGACCGCAACUGACGCUGAGGAACGAAAGCUAGGGGAGCAAACAGGAUUAGAUACCCUGGUAGUCCUAGCCCUAAACCAUCAGGACUUGGGGUGGCCCGCGUUGGCGGGUCGUCCCGGAGCUAACGCGUUAAGUCCUGCGCCUGGGGAGUACGGUCGCAAGGCUG
rnacentral:rRNA from 1 species